AUUUAGGCCAAUUCAUCUUUUGGCGCCAAAUAAACAGACUUCAUUUGUGGUGUCUUGGCUCUCUCUAGUGGUAUACCGGGAGUAGUACAGCCGAAAAGAUUUAUCCUUGUGUUGAAAACUCCAUAUCCCACAAUUCAUAGCACGCCUCUACAGAGUGAACAAUGGCGGCCACCACUUCGUUUUAUAUGUCUUUUAUUCGUGUUUCUAGGUCACAAAAUAAACUUUUAAGAUAUUUUCAGGCGAGAAUGUAGGUGUGUAAACUUCAAAUAUCUGCUUGUUUUAUCAAGACAUCCCAUAUUUAGCGACAGUGCUCUGACUACGUCGGUCCUGCCUGACAGCUAGCCGGCUACCUAGCUAGCUGCCGCACUUGGCUGCAAAUGGAUAGCGAGGGGACUCUCUCUGUCGUUUCAAUCGUGGAUCAGGGAAAGCGAAGGCAGGAGCGUGAGGUGAACUGAAUUUCAGGUAAGAAGUUAUGACCUGCACUCUAUUUGGGUCAGAUAUAAACCGAGUUUAGGUGUAGUUUAUUUAGCAACAGUUCUCUUACGUGUUGCUGAUAGCCGCUGGCUAGCUA
ensembl:lncRNA